UCCAAAGAUAAGAUAAGUGGAAUAGGACUUGUACUGAACAUCCCAGAGCUCUCCAAGGCCUAGGACAAAAUAACACUGUAAUGGUGCUAGCUCAUAGCUGAAAUGUGCUGGUAUUAGAAUUACUGAGAAAUUACCUGAUGGCUAGAAGUUAAUGUAGACAGCGUAACCACUAUGUAACACCUAUAUAAUGCUCAUGUAUAACCCCUUGAUUGAAUAUGCUAAUAUCUUUGUUCUAAAAUGUAUAAAAACCCUAUGCAAGCAGUGCCACGUUGCAGAGCUCCACCAAACAUCAUGGGAGACUGACGGUGUGCAUGUAACCGAUAAAGGCCUACCUUUGCUGCAUGCCUGUGUUUUCAAUUUCUUCAGGAUCCCCGGUCCAGCAGACCUCAGAAUUUCCUGUCAAUUCUGGUGUUAGAAGUGGGAUGUGAAUGGGACACCAGAUAAAACGCAGAGACUGGAUGGAGCUGGGAAGAAGGAAUAGCACAGGCACCUCACAACCUAGUACUUGGGAUCGCGCCAUCUGUGGGAACUGGCCUGGAUUCAACCUCACUCCCCCUCCCAAGGUCUUGCUGAGACUCAACAACUCCUUGGUCUUCUGCGCGCCUUCUGACAGCUGGGAAACCUGAAACUCAUGUCUUCCCCCUCUCUGACCCUUGUGGGGGAGCGGAGGCUCAACAGCCUGGAGCCUUUUGCCUGAGGAGUCCUCCGUGAGGAGUGGCAGCAGCCAUGGCAGCAGCGGAGACCAAGAUCAUCUACUAUCUGGACGACCAGGAGAUGCCGUACCUGGUGAAGCUGCCCCUCCCAGCCGAGCAGAUGACGCUGGGCGACUUCAAGGCGCUCCUCAACCGGCCCAACUACAAGUUCUACUUCAAGUCUAUGGACUAUGAUUUCGGGGAAGAAUCCGAUGGUGUCGGUGAGCGAAUCCUUUACAACAGCUGCUCAAUGUUUGAGGACUAAAAUUCUUGAAGUGGCAGUACUACAUUUUAAGGACAGAUUAUCUCCAGGCCUUUAAAGAACCUUGUUUUUUUAAACAAUGUUAAUAUUUUGUUAUUAACAUUUUUGUGCACUGUAUUCUUUUCUGUUGUGUAUUUUGUAUUUGUGUUUAUUUUUUUUAUUUUUUGUGAGCCAACUUGAGGGCCUUUUGGCCAAAAGGCAGCAUAGAAAUAAAAUUAAUAAAUAAACAAAUAAAUAAAUAAAUUUUAGCUUCUA